rnacentral:lncRNA from 1 species
AGCAGAUGCAUUGGCAGCAGUCAGAAAAGGCGUCGCUCUAUUUGCUGCGGAUUUUGGGAGCGACACGGGGACCUUUGUUUACUGCGUGGGGAAGAAAAGCCACUCCUAAGUCCAUAGGCGGAGUUCCAAUGCUUGGCGGUGCAGUAAUGGGGGGAAACUUCACCGGUUGGACUUCUGCCUGUCUGGCAGGUGUUGGCAGCUUUUCCAGGGACUAUGCAGAGCCACUCGGGGCAGCAGGGCAGGGAAAGCCCCGG